GAUGAACGCUGGCGGCGUGCCUAAUACAUGCAAGUCGAGCGAAGCGGGGACGAGUGAGUAACAUGUGUAUAACAUCCUCUAAGAAUGGGAUAACCUCGGGAAACCGGUGAUAAACCGGAUACUUAAAGAUUGAUGCGUGUUGCAUUAGCUAGUUGGUAAGCUAACGGCGUACCAAGGCAACGAUGCAUAGCCGACCUGAGAGGGGGAUCGGCCACACUGGGACUGAGAAACGUUCCAGACUCCUACGGGAGGCAGCAGUAGGGAAUCUUGCGCAAUGGGCGAAAGCCUGACGCAGCAACGCCGCGUGUAUGAUGAAGGUCUUCGGAUCGUAAAGCACUGUUAUUAGGGAAGCGGUACCUAAACAGAAAGCAACGGCUAACUCCGUGCCAGCAGCCGCGGUAAUAC
rnacentral:rRNA from 1 species